AAGGGAGAAAGUCUUCUCGGAAAAGUGCUAAUUUUUCUCAAGCUAUGGUUAGACUCCAUAGAUCCCUUG
rnacentral:tRNA from 1 species